rnacentral:rRNA from 1 species
AUUGAACGCUGGCGGAAUGCUUUACACAUGCAAGUCGAACGGCAGCACGGACUUCGGUCUGGUGGCGAGUGGCGAACGGGUGAGUAAUAUAUCGGAACGUGCCCAGUCGUGGGGGAUAACGUAGUGAAAAUUACGCUAAUACCGCAUACGAUCUAUGGAUGAAAGCGGGGGAUCGCAAGACCUCGCGCGAUUGGAGCGGCCGAUAUCAGAUUAGGUAGUUGGCGAGGUAAAGGCUCACCAAGCCGACGAUCUGUAGCUGGUCUGAGAGGACGACCAGCCACACUGGGACUGAGACACGGUCCAGACUCCUACGGGAGGCAGCAGUGGGGAAUUUUUGACAAUGGACGCAAGUCUGAUCCAGCCAUUCCGCGUGCAGGACGAAGGCCUUCGGGUUGUAAACUGCUUUUGUACAGAACGAAAAGGUCUCUAUUAAUACUAGGGGCUCAUGACGGUACUGUAAGAAUAAGCACCGGCUAACCACGUGCCAGCCGCCGCGGUAA